UACGUAGGGUGCAAGCGUUUGUCCGGAAUUAUUGGGCGUAAAGAGCUCGUAGGCGGUUUGUUGCGUCGGCUGUGAAAUCCCGAGGCUCAACCUCGGGUCUGCAGUCGAUACGAGCAAACUAGAGUGUUGCAGGGGAGACUGGAAUUCCUGGUGUAGCGGUGAAAUGCGCAGAUAUCAGGAGGAACACCGAUGGCGAAGGCAGGUCUCUGGGCAUUAACUGACGCUGAGGAGCGAAAGCAUGGGGAGCGAACAGG
rnacentral:rRNA from 1 species